rnacentral:tRNA from 1 species
GCCUGGGUGGCUCAGUAGGUUGAGCAUCUGACUUCAGCUCAGGUCAGGAUCUUGCAGUUUGUGAGUUCAAGCCCUGCGUCGGGCU